CUGCCCACCAUCCCCAGCUCACAGCAAAGCAGACACCUGAAGCAGACGCAGCUCCUCAAAAGCAGAACGCCAAAAGAUGCUGGGGCAGGCGCCAUGGGAAAGGCUGUCUCCUUCUGGCCCUGCCGUCCUGCUGCUGGCACUCUGUGAGUUGGGGCAUUGCUGGGUGUGGGGGCUGAGGGCUGGAGGGCUGCUGCUGGGAGCAGGACAGGGCUCUGGUGAGCACAGGAGAUGAUAGGGGCAGUGUGUGCAGGGCAGGUGUGCAGCACUGUGGGGCAGAAAAUCUGUAGGUCAUGACCCCUCUAAGCAAAGCCCUAUCUUCCCCUUGCUGCAAAUACUGGAGUGACCACCCAGGACAUCUGCAGCUCUCCAGGAUUUCGGGAGCAUGGAGGUGGGUCACGAAAAUGACCGUGUCCUGGGGAAAUAGAUGGGAAGAGAGAAGGGGAUUAUUCCCUCGCAGUUCCCCCUGUGAAACCCUGGGAGAGCAGAUUUUUCCAGCCUUGGCAUGCAGUUGGUUUUGCCACCUGGCCAUCACUAAUGCUUGCCUGAGGAAUCCGUGUGCCUUCCCUCCAGGUAACAACCAGGCUCCAGUCCUGUACCUCAAUGCUUCCAGAGCCCAGGAGGGGGAAAUAGUGCUGCUUCAAUGUAACAUUGAUGAGCAGUUUCCUGCUACGCGAGUUGUCUUCUGCAAGAAUGGGCUGGAGGAGUUCAUCCUGAAAGCCCAGCAGGGCAGGCUCAUCUACACCCUGGUCAUGAACAUCACCUCGAGAAGUGCUGGGACGUACACGUGUGGGUACCAGCAAAAGAACAAGGAAAACUGGGUGAGGAACUCUGCUCUCAGUGCUCCCUGGACCUUGUCUGUGGCAGGCAGCAGCCCCUCACACAAGGCCCAGCUCCCUUCUAGAGGUGAGACAUGGCUCAUCAGCCCUUCCCAGCACUGCCGUCCUCCAAGGCUUGCCUUGGCCACACUGUGUUCCUCCUCUCUCCCAGGGUCAGCCAUGCCCCUGGAGGUCUGGAUCCUGCGCUCUGCCCUCAGCCUGCUCCUGCUGCUGUCUGCCCCCAUCAUCACCCUCCUACUGGAGAGAUGGAGCCAUGGUGCCAGCAGGGCCAGGCAGCCUGGAGACGUCCCUGUCCCCAUGGAGCUCUGAUGUCCCCCUGAGCUCCAUGCUGUCCCCAGUCUGCUCCCUCAUGCUCAGGGCAUGACCCCCAAACAUUUGCCAGACUCCCGCUGCCGUGGGGUUCAAGGCAGCCAGGGCAGCAUGCCCAAGGGAGAAGCACAUGCUCUCUCCCCCAUCAAGGAUUGUCACUGCAUCGUGCACCCUCCUUGCUGCGUUCAACACCUGCACCCACAUGGCUGCCCCUCCUACUCACAGAAUCACACCUUCAUCAAGGGAUCCACCUCUGCAUACCAGGAGAACACAAGGGGAAGGAGUCACGGCUGCACCCACAGGCAGCCAUGCUCUGCAGCGCCUGCAUCACUCCGGCACCUCCCUGUGCCCAAGGUGCCGACCGCAAUGGGCACAUCCCCAGGUGGUUAUGGUGCCCUGUGUGGAGGCACUUGGUGGGUAUUGGUCCUGUGGGAGGUGAGUUAUAAAAGAUUGGCUCAGAAUGCACCAGCUGAUGUUGCUGCUCUAUAUUUGAGAGGGAAGCCAGUGAGCAGAGCUGGGAGAGCUCCUCUUUGACUGCUGUGUGGGGCCAUGUGUCUUGAAAGGGAGCUCCUGUUCUCUGCGCCCUGCCACCCAAGAGUUCCCCUACCUGAUGGCAUUGCCCUGGAAGAUGUGUCAUGGAAAACUGCCUGAGAUCUGAGGAUGGCUGAGGCCAUGCAGACGACCAGGGGGUGGCCAUGCCUGGAACACUGCACCCCAUGCCCACCCAUCCCUGUUCUCAGUCUUCUGUCUCUCAACGCGCCAUCCCCAGGAGACAACCCUGAGCAGGGACGUUGUGCACGGGGGCAUCCAGGUGUGGGCCAGGUGGGGAUGGGGUCUCAGCAUGGCUGGCCCCCACACCCGCAGACCAUCCACAGCCUUGCACCAUGGAGUUUUAGCCAUCCCACACCAAUACCUGGAAGGAGACAAGGUGUCCCUUCUCUGCAGCUCCCAGUGCUGACAUCUGGGGCCUUGGUGUGCAGUGGGGAACUCUGGGAUAAGA
rnacentral:lncRNA from 1 species